rnacentral:rRNA from 1 species
UACGUAGGGUGCGAGCGUUGUCCGGAAUUAUUGGGCGUAAAGGGCUCGUAGGCGGUCUGUCACGUCGGGAGUGAAAACUCAGGGCUUAACCCUGAGCCUGCUUCCGAUACGGGCAGACUAGAGGUAUGCAGGGGAGAACGGAAUUCCUGGUGUAGCGGUGAAAUGCGCAGAUAUCAGGAGGAACACCGGUGGCGAAGGCGGUUGCCUGGAGCUUUGCUGACGCUGAGGCGCGAAAGCAUGGGGAGCAAACAGG